UACAUGCGUGUUAUUUACCUGAGGACAUACUUACGACUUUCACUUUAGAAUUAAAAGAUUUUAGUUGAAGUUAAAGAUUCAUAAGAAGUUUCCUAGUAAAGCUAUUUUCUACAUAUUUUUUAUUCAAAUCCGUAGAAACAUUGCAGGAAAUUCUUGGAAUGUAAAUUAAAGACAUGGAGAUAUCUUUGAAAUUGUGUGAGACGAGGACAAUUUAAAAAUCAUAAUUUGCUGCCUUAUUUAAUUUGGUUACAAUAAUCUUAUCUUAAUAUACAAAAGCAUAACUACAAUUUGAUGGCAACAUAAUAACUAAUGGGAAUAUGGUCAUAUGGGAGUGAUCACUUUAGUACAUCUACAUCGUCUACCCACACACUUCGCUACAUAUGGUCCUUGGCACAAAUUUGGUGGACAAUCAGAAUCCCUGAAACAUCUAUUAAUACCUAGAAUGAAAAAUGAGAAUAAAAUAAUUUAAAUAAUAUGCGUUAAAUGUUUAUACAAAGUAACGAAUGAAUUUGUAAAGAAUAAAAAAUGGAUUACUUGCAAUAGUCGAUGGCACAAGAAAUAUGAAAGUAAAGAAAAUCAUUACAUAAAUAAACUUGACAAUUUUAGUCAUAGUUCCUCUUUGCAAUUAAGAAAUAGUUUUAUCAGUUUAUAUUUGUUAUGGUUUCACCUCUCCUCACACCAAUUAAAAUAUUUUUUGACCUUUAUAUAAUUGUAAGAAAUCCUUUUUAAAAUUAGAAAAAUUAUUAAAUAAUUUCUUAAGUAUAUCAAUGUCUAGUGUUUGUCGUUUUAGCACACUUAGUAAGCCUUUUAGACUUAAAAAUAAUAAUCAUUUAUAAUAAUUAAUUAUACUUUAACUAAAUUUCCAUUAGUUUACAACCUUUUGUGAAAUGAAAGGGUAAAACACAUAAGAUAAAUAAUAUUAUAGAAAAACAUAUUUAAAAUGUAUGUUUGGAUUUAUGAAGAGUUACAUCGUUAAAAAAAUAUUAAACAAUUAAAGGUAUUUUUGAAACAUUUUUUAAAAUUUCACAGUUUUUCCACAUAAAUAACAAUUGAUAUUUUCAAAACCACUCCCCCAAUAUAUAAUACUCACAAAGAUACUAUAAUGUAUAAAAUGUUCAAGCAAUGAAACAGUUACAUUCGACGAAACAUAUGAAUGACAAUGUAUUGAUUAUGGAGAAAUUAGCUGGGCCAGAUCCAUCUAGGAAUCCUACAUUCCACCAACAAAAUCUUAACUUCUAAUCCAAUGUGAUUUACGACUACAGAAACACUUCCUUCAUUUUUACUUAUUUUAUAUCAUACAACCUAUAUCAGAUAGUGUCAUUCAUUUCUGUUAUGGUUGAAGAUCUCAACAUAAUAUUGACAAAAAUUCUUUCACUUCUCAUAAGCUAUCUCUAACUAACUUCUCAUAGAGGCUUGAUCUAUCUCUUAUUUCCUUAUCCAUGUUUGGACGGAUCAUGGAAUAAUCAUCCUCAAUAUUUUGCUUUAUAUGAUUAGGAAGAAAAUUGAAACCUGAAUUGAUUUUGAGAUGGUCGCUUCUUAUAAGAUUUCUUCUUAAAAGAGUGCGAUAGUUGUGUACAUGGCCUCUUUAAUGAUAUUUGAGAAUUUGAGUGUGCUUGAUCAACAUGUUUGUGAUAUCAAGAGUUCUAAUAAACAUCAUAUUCCAUCGGUUUCUUCCUAUUCUUCACUUCUCCUUUUUGUUUUUUGUUUUUGAGGUGGUGGGUACAUUGAAGUUGUAGUGGGGUUAGAAAUUUCACACAUCCUACUUUUUAAUUUUAUAUUUCAUGCAACAUCCAAUGACCUUAACCUUCUCCACAAUACAUAUAUUGCACAAGUCAUAUAUAGGGGUGUGCAAAAAAAUCGGUUAUACAUAACCAAAUUGGUAUCCAAAUUGUUCCACUUUAAAAAAAACCAAACCAAAUGCUAAAAUAAAAAUUUGAGUAUCCAUUUUAUUAUCAAAAUAUAAACUGUUAACCAAUAUAAUUAUUAUUUGAUAUUUUUUCGAAAAAAUUAUAUUUGAUAUUUUUUUUCAAAUAAAAUUAUUAUUUUUUUCUAAAUAAAAAAAAUAUCUUUUAUCAAAAAUAUUUUGUAUUUUUUAUUAAAAAUAUUUUGUAUUUUUUUUAGUAAAAAUAAUGUUUUUUUUAAAAAUAAUUAGAUUUUUAAAUUUUUUUUUAUUUUCAGAAUAUAAUUUUAUUAUUUUCAAUAUUUUUUGAUUUUUUUUUUCUUUUUUCUAAAUAUUUGUUAUCUUUUUUUAUGUUUUUUAAAUUUUAAAAGAAAAAAUAUUUUAAAACGUCAUAAAAUUUGUUUAUGAACAAUUAUGAGAGAAUUAUGAGAGAUUUUAGAAGUUUGAAUAAUUUUUUUUAUGAAUUAUUUAUUUUAUGAAUAAUUAUGAUUUAUAGAGAUAUGAUUCAUAAUUAUUUUAUUUUAUGACCGCUUUUAUGUAACACAUCAUACUUUGGGAUUGUUUUUAAUCGAUAUAUUAUUUGUGGUGAUUAUAAAAGUCAAAUUUAAAGUAAUUUUUUAAAAUAAAUAUUUUUUUUAUAUAAAAUAGUUUUAUAACUAGUGAAAAUAAAAAAGGAUAAAAUUAUUUUUGAUAUAAAAUUGUUUUUUUAAAAAUAUAGUUUUAAAACUGUUUUUUUUAUAAAAAUGGUUUUGAAAUUGAUUUUUUUAAGAAAAUAAAAAAUUGGUUUUAAAGAAAUUGAUUUAAAAUUAUUAUUUUGUUAAAAACCGGUUUAAAAUCGAACCGAUCCACUUAUAAACUAGUUUUAAGAAAAUAAAUUGGUUUUAUGAAAAUGGUUUUAAGAUCCAAACCGAACCAUAUAUAUGGUUCAAUUUGGUUUGGUUUAUGAUCCAUGCACACCCCUAGUCAUAUCCACAUUUGCAUCUACCUCUUGUUGACCUUCCAUGCUUGGUUUCCUCUAAUGGAUAUGGAUGUUGUCUACUGGUAUCUGAUCACCAUCCAUUAAGUUUCUUCCUAACUCACAAGUUCGUAUCUGAUCACCACCCAUUAAGUAUCUUCUUAACUCACAAGUACAUGAUAAUCCUAUGAUGUUCUAAGAUACACCCAUAUAUUUGGGUGUUGGUUGCCGCAUAACCUUAAAAACACUUCAACAAUGCGUCUCAAAGGAGCUCCUGGUACCAAUCCAUGCAAAUUUCCAUAAAAUGGACUAGUAUGUUCAUGCUCAACUUCAAAAAUACUCUUUUUAAAUGAAGCUCUAAUAUUUCCUAAUUGUAAGUUUAAGUUGUUAUUUAUAACCUACCAACAUUUGCACAAGUCACCUAUAUUAAUGUCUGAUAUCUGCUUUAAUUUCUAAUUAGCAGACUUUUAGAUUUCUUCAAUUUUCUUUCGAUAUCCCCUGCUUUCUCUAUCCAUUUUGCUUCAUCGUAAGUCAUUUUAGUGUUGAUUAUUUCCCUAUAGGUGUAUAAAAGAGUGUUAUAACAUAGAAAAAGACACCAAGAUUUACCUUGUUUUAGUUUUAAGAAAUUUACAUUUUCUUGCAAUUUCAUUUUGUAAAGAUCAAUUUGUUGUUGAUUUUACAAGUCUCUUAUGACCAUUUUUUUACUUUGUUUUAACUCAAUUCAGAUUUUGGCUUCAUCUUUUAAGAUUCGUUUCCAUGUAUAUGUCUUUGAUUAUUGUUAUGCACUCUGUCAUACCCCAAAAUUUGCCCGUUGGUAUUACAAAGCAUUUUCCAAGACCCUCUGACUUGUUCUGCAAGGCACCGGUAUCAAAUGGACAAAAGCCCACUCACAUAAGGCCCAAUCCACAGGCGGCAUGGUAGUCGAGUAUACGGCUACUCCCUUUCUCAGGUGCUACCUUCGGACAGGUACAUUCCUGAAUGGUAGUCUGGUAUACGACUACUCCCUUUUCAGCAGCUUCAGCCUAACGUACGGCUCAUUCUGUAACUCAGAUACGAUCUAGCGUACGAUCCAUUCUGAUCUUUCAUCCCCAGCAAAGUCAUCUGCCUAACGAACAGCUCCCUCUGGUAUUCAGACACGGUCUAACGUAUGGUCCAUUCUGAUCCCUUAUCCCCAGCAGUAUAGCAUACUCAGACUCCCCAACGAAGUCAACAGCAUAAUGGAGGGUUCACUAUACGGUCUGAUGUAUGGCCCGGUGUGACACCCAUGUCUCUAGAUAUCGUCUAACGUACGACACAAUCUGGAAAUCUCUUCAGCAAGUUUCUUGGAUGGCAUCUUUAAGCCCAUCUCCGUCAAGACAAAUGAACAAGCGCAAAUUUUUGGGGCACUCUAGUGUUCAAUAAUCUUCCACCUCCAGACCACGAAUGGCGCACAUACCAUUCUACUCUCUCGGUUCAAGAAUAUUGAACAGGGGCAGCUGUCAUACCCCAAAAUUUGCCCGUUGGUAUUACAAAGCAUUUUCCAAGACCCUCUGACUUGUUCUGCAAGGCACCGGUAUCAAAGCCCAGCUCACAACAGGCCCAACCAAAAGGGGCCCAAAAUAGCUUGCUCGCUAGGCGAGCAAUCUCUUCGCCUAGCGAUGCUUCGUCAUGACACUCGCCCAGCGAAGCGUCAGAUCCAGGAAAAGGCCCAGACCUAGUUUGCUCGCUAGGCGAGCAAUUCCUUCGCCUAGCGAAGCUUGCGAAGUUUGAGAUUUUUGGACCUCAUUUUAAGCCCAUUAGGUCACCACUACCUCUACUAUAAAUACCUGCUCCUCUGCCACGAAAAAGGACGGACAGAGACGGACGAAGACGGACGGAAACACGCUUCCAGAGGGAGAAACGCAGAAACCCUGCUGAUCCAAAGAAUUCAGAAGGCGGAAACCCUAAAGGCCGCUUACUCGCUCCGAAGCUACCGCCGUCCAACUCAAUCCGGCUCGCCAAUUCAAGGUUACGACUUGAUUUGCAAACAGGUUAGCUUCACUAUUAUUCGCUUUAGCUUCUUAACUGGCAUAUGAUUAAUUGGCAUAUGAUUAUCAUUUGGUGUCCGUAUUUUGCAUGUGGUAUCAUUUUAGUAUCUUAAUUUGCAUGUGAUAUUAUUUUGUAUUUUCACUUGGCAUAUGGUACCCCUUCAUGUUCUUAAUUUGUGGAUUAUAAUUGAAUUCAUAAACAUUUUGAAGUCUUGCAUGUUAAAUGUGUUUGCCUAUUGUGAAACUGAGCCAUAUAAUUGUAUGUUGGAUGCCAUAAGCCAUGUUGCAGGUUGAGGUCAUAAUGUUCUCAAAUUUCAAACCCGUGGCCGCUCGCUAGCUCAUCGCUAGGCGAGCCCGCAGCGAGCCUUCGCUGAGCCUUCGCUAGGCGUUACAUUCCAUUUCUUCCAAGCAUUCGGAAUGUCAUUCUGGGACAAACAUCAGUUUAGCAGUUGUUAUAUUACUCCGAGACAGUCUGGGAGUGGCGUACUCAGAGACAGAUCCGCACCUGGAACCUGAUUACGCAGGCAUUACUUUUCAGUUCUACACUAUGGCAGGUUGAGUAGUAGACUCAUUUGAUAGCGAAUGUUAGACUUUGGAAUUAGCGCCUAUCGCUACAGCUACUGUAAUAUGAAUACUGACUACUGGCGCCAGCAGUAGAAUGAAAGCAUUAAAUUAGACAUGCUCCGACACAUUUUAGAUGCGAUAGGUAUGGAUUUUUGGACUUGCGUUAUGACUCAUACACUCCCUGCAUUAGUUCAUUCUUGUGUGCACUUUGCCCACGCAAUGGGAAGAUGUUUCGCACCAGGUGGUAAAUUUUAUGGGAGCGCAUGUUCUGAUGGCCCACAUUACGCACCUGUCUCAUGCUGACUCGGGCACAAGUAUUCUUCAUCGGGUGUUUGGUGAUUUAUUUCUCCAAUGAACCGUCUUAUAAGUAGACGGGUGAAUCGAGUGUUUAGAAAGCGGCAUUUUUCGUUAAGCUACGUGAAAGCCUUUAGGACGGCUACCACUUUGUCUCACAUCGCAACGAUAGAAGUCAUAUUGUGUGUGUGAUAAGAUGUAAUCACUAGGUUUGAUGGAUUGUCGGUCAAAGCCAGAGGGUGAAUAUUGUGAUAGAUAUCGGACCAUGAAUCAAAUCUUUGCGUUAGGUUUGGUUAUCGCUUUAGAUUUAGGCGAUUGUGUUUCUAGCGUGAUCCAUAAUUCAUCAAAACAUCAACACCACAUCAGCAACACGACAAAGUGCAUAAUGAAGUGCAAUGUUUGCAAUCCAAGUAAUACAUAUAUAGACACUUUAGACAAUCAAGAGCACUGAGCAUAGGGUAUGGAGUUACUAAAAGGCAAUAUUUAUUUAGCCCGGGGUCAUGUAGAAUCUCCGAUGAAUUAUUCCUAUAUACGACAUAAUGCUCUCUCUAUCGCUUUUAUAGAGUGUUGCAUGCCUAGUGUAGUGCAUAUGUCCAACCUCCAAUAGCCCCGGACUAUGAUACAACGAUUGUUGGUCCCGAGUUUGAGAAAUAGAAGUUUAGGCAGGUGAUAUUUAUGGACAACUUCGACCUGGAGACCUAUUUGUACUUCAAUUGUUAGAGUACGUGGCCGGAGACCUCCUUUCAAGUAGUCGAGAUCAUAAGACUUGGUGUCUUAACCUACUGCUGUUCUAAAUUCAUGAAUCAACACUGUUAACGAUCUGUUGUGGGAGGAUUGAUGACAAUUUCUCCACAGACUCAUACUAAUGGGAUGAGGUUGCUGAUAUUUAGCAUCUCCCUCUCCUGAUCUCACAGGUUUCUACCACCCGAGAAGAACUAUAUUUAUUCUAGGGACAUGCGGAGAUAGUCUCACUCGUCUCUUGACGGUUUACAGGUUUGUGUCCCUCGUCACAAAUUUUGCGGAUCUUGGUAAUAGUCUUUCCGUAUGAUCCCGAAACGCAGUUUGCUUUCGCUAUGUUCUGUAGUUAUGGAAAUAGAGUUAGAUUUAGAUACAUUACUGGGUUCGACUCGAUGAUCGUACAAAUUCUCUCUGGGAAAAGAUAUUUCCUACUCAGUGGAAAACCUAUUGAAGAAAUUAUUUGUGAUUGCUAGGUCCAGAAGUCAGUGAAGAUUACCUCAGUGACGGCAGUCAGGAUGCCUUCUUGAUUGGUAGAGCUAGAGUGCCUGUAAAGAUUUUAAGCCAUUGACGUUUUUGUGCGCCCAAAUACACCCCCGAGGGUAUUGACAAUAAUGCUCACACUAUCUUAUUACUGCACCUGCUCAUAAUAUUGUACUUCCUUCUAAGUUGUCACACGCACCACAAGUCUGGUCGUUCGGUCUUACUGUUGGCAGGUGAUGUUUACUCUACCGGUUGUUCACACCACCGCCAGAGGGUGUGCUAUAUUAUUUGUCUACUAAUCCUAAUGACGUUGACCUCUUGUAGUGUGGAUGGUCUCAUAGUAAAAUUACUCACGAGUGGAAGGAUUUCUCUCAGGAAAUCUCACCUCCCGCCCCUAGUAGCAAGCGAUUUGCUGGAGUCUACGAUGAACUAUCGGCGGUGAUCGGCAGUUAAUUUUCCAUGAUCUCAAGAAGAGUAAAAAUGAGACAGCCCUACUUUCGAGGUAAUUCUCAUAUUACCGAACAUUGACCUGAUGAGCGAAUAGAUCAGAAAAUCCUUGAUUAGGAGAGAAAUGCUGAAAAAUCAAUCGUAAGAGUGACUUUGGAGUUGUUGUUAACGCAGGGUAAACAGCUGGGGCGGGGUUUCUUCGCUCUCUCUAAAUUUCGCACUGCUUCAUUCCCGUGUGUUUUGCUUAUUAUUUUCUCUGAAUCUCAUGGCCAAUCGCGAGUGAUAAUUAAAUUCCUUCGAGGAGGACGUCUAGUUUGUUACCUCAGCGAUGUUUGAUCAAUGUCUUCGCGUCACGAUCAAGUUUGACAAUUACGCUUGGUCUAACUGGUGAGGGCUGUUGUAUUAUUCACACGCGUCAUAGGGUAUUUUACAUGUUUCAAGAUUGCUGACGACUUGUUAAACCAGACUAGCGACAGAAAAGACACUCACUAAAUAACAAGUGCUACUCUUGGCUUAUUAUCUCCCAUUGAAGUGUAGUGAGGUAUUACCUAGUUGUAUCAGUUGGGUAUUGAUUUGAUUAACUGAUCAAAUGGCUCUUCUUUGAAUGUGCUACCGAAAGCUGUGCAAUCGUAUAAUCCGUAUCAUAUUUUCUCGACCCUGCUCAAAGGCGAUGCUAGAAUUCUAGAAAUCACCUCAUUGUGUGACAGUAUUGUUUCAUGUGAGUGCGUGCUAUACGCUGGCUCGCGAAAGACGUGUUUGUGACAGAUGGAUGAAUGUUUGCAUAUGUGGCUCAUCCUUAAUCCACUAGUAUGAGGUUGUAAUUCACAUGUGGAUUUCAUGGAACACUACCUUUUAUUCACACGCUUGAUGAGUGGAGAAUAAUUUGCCAUCCUGGUCCGGGACGUCUGCCCUUCAGGAUACACAUGGGCAGGUAGUGUUGUUAGUCUCGUUGCUUCACCACCAUCUAAAUAGGAUUGUGAUGUGUUAUUCCACACUCACGACGGAGGUGCGAAGAGAUUGUCACUGUGUUGUGAUGACGCAGUAAGAGUAUACUGUCACAAGUAGUGUGCCAAUACUUUACACAGGAUUACGAUGAUGAUGGAUGGAGAUACGAACUCUUUUUCCUCUUCGACGCAUCGGUAUCUAGUGCUCAAUUUUGAAGUAGUUCCUCCGACCAUUUGUCCUUAGCCAACUUCCCCGCUUGUUGCGCAUCCAAAGUGUGAUUUAUCGCUAGCUCCUCUAACGCCGGUGCUUAAAAUGGGAAUUUGUCCUGAACGAUGUACGCAUCAGAGGGUAGAGUUGAGUUAGAUUGAGUUGAGUCGUUUUCCUCACCCUGGUUGGGGUCACUGAAUCUUGAUGUCCGUAAAGUGCGCUGAUAAAUUUAGGCCUGGGGUUUAGCUCUGAAAGAAUGGAGUACAACGAUCAGCUCUUGGCACAUUAAUUCGUCGGUGGUAUGAUAGGAAAUGGUGAUAAUAAUAGCCGAUUUUGCGACUCUGCGCAUUAAAGGUUGGAGAUUUUCCAAGAUAUGGUGUAGUGUGAUCGCGACUCAAUAAUUUCGGGAAGGUGAGAUCGGGAUAUUCCGGGAUCCUUUUUUUUUCUAGUCACGUGUAGUUUAGGGUUGUUAUUGUUAUCUAUUAGAGGUGAUUUCAUCAACAUUUUUGGUUGCUAAACUUAUUUAAUACCUGAACAAUGAAUUCUCUGUAUAGUUACAGGUUCGCGUGUCUAUACCGCCGUUCCAAUCACGCCUAAUGGGGCUUAUAGGGAGUUUUUUCUGGCCUCAAUGAUCGUCUCAUAGCAUAUGCACAUUCGCUCAUUUACACUAUCGAUUAUAAUUGGAACUUUUUUGCACUCCUCUGAUGCUCUACAGGGUAGGGUCGCUUCUUCUCAUAGGUCGUUUCCUGUCAGCUCCGUCUUCAUGGGCCAACACUCAAAGCUAUGUUUUCUCUUCCAUACACCCAACUUUUUUUAUUCCCCCUAGAGUCUGCUGGACAAAGCACGUAACAAAUUGGCAGAUCCAUUAUCCACUCCUGGGGUUGGAAUAUAAUUUAUAGCUCUUCACUUUUAAGUUCUUAAAUUAAUUGGUUUUUAUAGAGCUAAUCUUCACGAUCUAGCCAAGCCACUGGUUAUUGCGCAGUUGUAAUGCAUUAAAGUCAUGGAGUGUUCGUGUCUCUGUGUGAUUGGAGGCCUUGCACUAUAGAUACUGUUCUCGCCGCAGAGGGAAGAUAAGUAUAUAAAGCUGCUACUCAUGGAAUCAGAAUGAUAAUUGUGGUAAAUCAUUCGAGGGUUCAUUCUUAGGAGGAUACGACAAGAAGAAGCAAAAUAGGAGCAAGAAGUUGUUUUUAGAGUGUAUAUAGAUUUAGUUUGAUAUAUAAGGUACACGAAUGUCAUUCUUCAGAUGUUCCUGACUAUGUAGAGAGAUUUUAUUUGAUUGCGAGAUCCUGCAUAUUGACAUUUAGACCUAGGACUGACGAAUCACUUCGAUAUUAGUUAAGUGCAAAUUCUUGUAUAUGUCAGAUGGAGGAGAGACAUUGCUGCACGUUAAGAAAAGGCUCGUCGCAUGCAGAUCCUGAAAUGUUUAUAGAGACAACUCAACACGUCGAUGGAUUUCACUCGAGUAAAGUAAUAUCGACUAUGCUGUUCUUUCUAGCUAUCAUAUUUGUUGCAUUAUCGGGAUUUCUUUUUAGGAUUUACAGCAACUCGCGCGCUCUUGUUCUGGCAACUCCUCGUCGGUUACUAGUGCCCAGAAGAAAUGAAUAAUGAGGUAAUGUUUGUCGCGACGAUUGGUGGAUUGAUAGAUUAUGCAGAGAAUCUUGAAUAAAGCAAUCCAAGAGAUGACUAAAUUCCCACUUUCUGAAUGAGAGUAUAGUUGAUUCUGGAUAGAUAAACACUCGCUUGCUAUUUUCUCUUUACGUAUUAGUUUCAAACCACUCAUGACAAUGGAUCGGACUUGCUCAGGUUAUAAAAAAUAUGUAUAUGGAUCAAUGGCCCCUGUAGAGAAUAUGGAUGAAACGAUACCCAAGCGUGUUGUGACUUUUCGUAAGGGGGCAAGCUUUCUGUUGUACUAGUCAGUAAUGAUCCAGAUUGCCGCAGUUUAAAGAAUGCACGGCGCACGCAAAAUCACCACUAGCGUGCUAUGGCAUUGGGUUCUCAUGAAUGCUUCAUUCAUAAUGAAGAAGUGACGAUGUUCAAUCCAAUGUAGGAUCACGCACGGUAGACGGUUGGAUGAAAGAAUGAUGCGCUAGAAGACCUCCCGCCAUGACUCUCCAUUCCCUACCCUCCACUUUCUGGACUUCCCGACCCGAAUUCCACUCGAACACGAGUCCCUCCUCGACAGUCUAGUUUAUUGCAACGUUAGGAACAUCUCGAUCGAUAGUAUGACUACCAAAAAAUCUGUCUUAGUCGCAUGAGAAGAUGUUGAAAGAACUACAAAUGUGUGAUCUGUCCGAUUUUGCAAUCAGAAGUAUAUUCUUAUACACAAUUCGACGACUGGAUCAUAAGACCUUUGAGUAAGAUCGGUAAAACUCUUGGGCAUAUUUUACAUGAGUCAGGGGUAUGAGUACUUCGGAAAUUUGAAGGUAUCAUUGUUAUCGCAACAUUAAGAUGAUUGAGCGCCGAUCUAUUCACAAUGAGGUCGCCAAAAAGACUCGUAGCAGUUGACAAUCGUCACCAAGUUUUGAUAAUAGAAGUUAGGGGAGUGUUUGCUGAUGGACGUGCUAUUGAUGGAGACUUUAAGCAAAAUGGUCAAGCAAUGGGUUUAUUCUCGCACAGUUGAACUCGUAUAAACUUGUAAACCCAUGCGGCAGAUUUACCUGCUAGGAACGAUAUCUGUAUGUAGUUAUAUUAUUGUGUAUUGCAUAGCAUGUCAAGAUAGACAUUAUAUGCAUAACAAAAGAGGAAAGAAUAUAAUGUAUCUCCAAGAACCACUCUCGCUUUACGAUUCGCCGCAGAAGUUGAAGGAAGAACCUAACACUUUCAUAUUGGAUUAGAGUAUUUUGAGCCAGAUGUUCAGAAAGAUCUAAGUUGGGGUGGUGAUAGUGAGGUCAGAAAUUUUUAUCGAGUGGCAGAGUAUGGUCCGAGCAUUAUAAAGAGCAUGCCUAUACCAAUCUUUGUUUAGAACAAAUCUAGUCCUGGGCUGAUAUAGGAUGUCAAGCUAUCUCCAAGAGGACUGCGAGUAGAAAAACUCUGUUGCGUGCUUUGGCUUGGGCUGCUCGUGAUUCAAAAAACAUGUUUGGGUAUAUGUGAUUUAGAAAAUCAGAGGUAGCCACCGCAGUGUUAACUCGAGUUUCAUUGAUCAUAAAUGUACUAGGAUGAUUCCUCCCUAUCAAUAUAUAUAUGAGAAACCUGCUCUCUGGAUACGCCAAUCACUCUUGUGAGUAUCGUGUAGAUGGAUUUCAUUAAACAGAGCUCACAAUAUCCCACGCUUGAUAAUUACACUAGCUGCAAGAAAAGGCAAUCAAACAAGGGAAGCGUGUUUAGCCUGAUAAUCUAUAUGUGGCACUCAGUCAAGCUCUUGAGGUGGUGAGUCGGAUAUAUAGCCAAUUCUGAAACAUUUUGAGGUAGUUCUCUUUAGAUCGCACCGACGCUCUUCAACGUUCACUUAGUAAAUGUACUCAUAAGCAUUAUGAAAGCCAGAUCACUGGACCUGAUGUAAUCAAAUGAGGGUCAACGAAUGUGUGUGAGCAACACUUGAUGGAAUACGUAUUGUGUAGUAUGCACAUUAAUGCGGUGAAAACUGGACUACUUUUUUGGUAUUUGAGUAGAGAUUAAAUUGUUAUAUCGUAUAUAUUUGCCUCGGCCGCGAUUGGAGCAAGAUCAAUUAAGUUGCUCGCCACCGACUUCAUCUGGGUUGUAGAACGAAGUGAAAACAAGUGAAAGGUGGGGCUAUGCAUAACUGAACCAGGAAAUGGACCUUAGAAAAUAAUUAAUCGUCUAUUAGAUGUGUUGUGUAUUGUUGUCACCCAUUAAAAUUCAACACGCGCGAGGUAUUAGCACCCUUUGUAGACAUAGGUAUUAAUAUCAACAUUGUGAUCUUCCUAUAGGACUCUGCUAAAUGGAAACGUCGAUUCAGAUUCACUGAGAUGUUUGUGUAUCCAAAAGUCGUGUGGAUUAGAGCUCACCUAUAUUCGCAAUAACGGUCACAAAAAUGGUAUUCGCAUAAUCGGAGUGAAUUUGUUACCUCUUUGAUAAGUAGUUAGUAUUGACUUGUUGCUCUGACGCACAGUAUACCAAGUGGGUAUUUUACAUAAGUCGGUUUCCCUAUUGUUAUUCGAUAGAGGUGUAAAGUCCUUUAGUAAAUAAUUUCCCUAUUUAAUUGGCGCAGAUGGGUAUGUGCGUGAUCCAUCAUUUAUCAGUGGGUCUGGGGAUGAUUUAGAAAAGACAUAGAAUGGUAGUAGGAUCUAUUCCCAAUAUGAUACACAUAUGUAUUUUGAUGAGGAAGCCUGUAUGAGACUAGCGAAACACGCACCUCUUUUGUUAGGUCAGAAUGUACCGCAUCAUGUAGGAGUUGUUGAUGAUUCUCUAUUUCGAGGUUUUCGGUCAUUCCUUGAUCCCAUAAUCUAAAAGUUCGGCUUGUGAGUGAUAAACAAAAUCGCGUUCACGUGCACCUAUUAAUUGAGAAGUAAAUAUAGAGCUACGUUAUCUUGGAACGCCGUCAGAUCGCGUGCGUAGAUCGUAAGUUGGGGCACGAGGCCUGAGAGAGCUUUGACGCUGCAAUCCCAGACCUCACGCAUAGAGGAAUAAACAUGAAGGUUGUGUCAUACCAUUGAAAAUUGAGUGAAGGCACACACGCUUAGUUUUGACGAGAUUUCAGUUGCAAAGUGGAAACUCGAAGGAAUCUAACUCAUAUAACUUUUCUAUGCGAAACGGGCAUAAUCUCAACUCUGCAAAGCAUGCAAGUGAAUGCAUUAGAGUGUGCAGACAAAGAAAUGGGUAAUUAGCAAAGAUUUCCGAAGCGCAUAGUUUCCUCAGAGGGCUGUCGGAAUCGCACGCCUUAUACCGAAGGGUCUUAUGCUUGAAAUUGUUCAGUAGCAUUUCCGUCAUUAUUCUCGCUGUGUCGGAGAACAUUCUCUCAUCCGCUCAAUUUCUGCAUCACUCAUCCGCUGGUUGGUGAUAUAUGUGGGAUGUGUGUGCCGAAUAGUCGAUCUACCAAUGUAGGUUCCUCAUAGAGGAUUCCCUGAGUUUGUGACUGUUUCGAUUAGGGGAUAUUCAUGUGUGAAAAACAAGGCUGAUUACAUGAGUACAUCAAAAUUCAAAUCCCUGUAUUAGUCACACUUUAUUUUACUAAUACUUGGAAUUGUAGAAAGUUAAAUUGAAUAGGUCAACCAAAGUGAAAUUUAGCGCACAGAUCUCAGAGUCAUGAAUUUCCUCAUUCAAUAAUAAAUAGUGCUGGAUUUAGUAUUUUUUCGCGAUAGUUCUCCUAUUCGCAUAGAUGGAAGAACGUUCUUGGCAUGCAUAAAGCGGAGUAUCCAGACCGGUGGUACUUUCUUCGCGCAAGGGUAUGCUACUUUACAUGAACACACGGAUUAAAGCUAUAAAUACAAUUGGAACUUCAUCAUAAGAUAAAUAUAGCACGCAAGAAUUUAGCCAAAUAAUGCAGAAUCAUCAUUAGGUAAACAUGAAAUAGGCAGCAAAAGCAAAGCAGCCCUGGCCGUCGCCUCUGCUUCGCUAGNAAAGUACCUCCCGAACCUAAGAAUUUAAAAUUAAGGUCUUUCCUGUUCUUUUCCACCUUUCCUUAAGGGAUAAAAGAAAAGUCGGUGGCGACUCUUGCUAACCGCGACAUUGCGAUUACAAAUCCAAUAAAAGUCCAGUUCACCGUAUGACACACUCUUUUAAUUUGAUUAUAACUGAGUAGUUUUCUAUGGGUUUAGGAACAUAAGGACAGUCUUGUGAUAUACCUCAUGUAGAUUGUAAAAAAAAUUGUUUCGAGAAAAGUUAUAAGGCUUUCUCCGGAUUUCUUAUUUUUAACGUAGAUAUCUUUACAAAAUUAAGGACAUUUUAUAUGCCAUUCACAUUUUAAAGAGGUGUAAAUUAGUAUUCAAACGAUACAUAUCGGACAACCGAAUUGAGUGGACCAAAGUGUCUCAAACUUAGUUGAGAAUGUCUCAUUUUUAUAGAUGCAUUUAAAGUAGGUAGUAUAUUUGUUUAGACUUAGACAACACGCUCACGAAAGUAGGUGUUUUUCAAUGUUUUUUAUUUUACUACUAAUCUAAUUCUUUUUCUCGUAAUGAAUUGGAGUCUGCAUGAGUUUCUUAGAGAUACGAAUCAUGAACCCAAAGUCCUAUUUUAAUAUUUUUGUUUCUAAAACAAAAUCAACACUUCAUAUAAAAUCAUCGAUUAUCUUAGAUAAACACUCAAGAUUUAUCGAAAGAGAAGAAAAGAUUGAAAAGCUUUAUGUAUGUUUGUGUGUGCGUUUCCUUAGUAUCUUAAGACUCACCCUUGUCCCUUUUACAAUAAAUUGGUCAAUAUAAAGCGCUUAGAGAAAAACCAAACAAACUUUCACACUUUCUCUCUUUCACAAAGUCAAAUCAUCAACUUCUUUUGAUUGAUUCAUCGGUGACUAGCAUUUUAAUUGGAACUUGAACCAUCUGACUGAUAUGGCUUGAGAUAUCUUUUUCUUAAUUAGAUGCCAUCAUAAAAAACUAGUGGAAGUUGUAGUAAAAUUCACCUUUGACAGUUGUGACCAAUAAUAUUUUUAAUUAACAUCACACUUAGUUUGACCUAAGGAGUUGACACACUACUAGAAAAUAUACAUUUGGUGACACAAUAUUACAACGACCAUUUUGCUACCGUAGUCAUAUCACAUUUUUUACUCACAUGUUUUUUAUUUUAUUUUAUUAAGAAACCUUUCAUCACGGUUCCUAAAAAUAACUGUGGUCAUAGAAUUUGGAUGAUAAGCUUCGAAUCCCAGCAUCAAUAUUUUUCUAUUUCUUCAAUAAAAAUAAGCGCGUGUCCCUUCACAUUUAUUGUUAUUUAAAAAUUGAAAGUAUAACAAGUAAGGUUAUUUCAUCCAACGGUGGUUAUAUGUUUCGUAUUUCACUAUGGUUGAAGCUUCAGCUGUUGUGAAUUUAUUUCCCACAAAAUUAAAACUUAACAAGUACUUCAGUUCGUUCAUAACACACAAGGGUGCCUUACCAAACGAGACAACGACGAUAGUGAAAUCUUUACCAUCUUCAUUCAUUUUUGGAAACAAAUAUCAUUUAUGGAAACGAAACCGUCAUCCUAUUCGAAUUACGGUACAUUACCAUUCUCUCUCUUUGACGCUUCUGAAUGUUUAUGUUCUUUGCUAGAGUUAUUUACCAUUCUCUGUCUCUCUUUGACGCUUCUGGAUUUUUAUGUUCUUCGCUAGGGUUACUGGUUUAUUCUUUUAACAGAUAAAUGAUGAUGGAUUUUGUUGCAUUUUAUGAAUCAAUGAUAUCCGCGUUGACAUUGUCAUAUAUAUUGUUCAUGUUUCCUUGUUCAUGUUUUAUUCAUAUUUUGUGAAUAUGCUUUAGGUGUUGCCAUGUUCCAUGUUCCCAUGUUCAUGUUGCAAUUUUGUGAAUAUGCUUUAGGUGUUUCCAUUUUGUUCAUGUUUCCAUGUUCAUGUUUUGUUCAGAUCAUGUGUGUAUAAUCAUAUUAGGAUGUUGUAUUUGUAGCAUUAGUGUACCACUCACAUUAGUCUUUUGAUAUAAAUUUCAGAAUUUUUUAUGGAUCGUAGUUGGAUGAAAGCUGAUAGAUUAGGUUCGGUGUAUGAGAAAAGAGUUCUUGAAUACCUUGAAUUCUCCAAAAAAAAUAUUCCCAAGAAUAAUGGUAUCUUUUAUUGUGCUUGUGUUAUCUACGAGAAUAUAAAAAAACAAUCAAAGAAAGAAAUAUUACAUCACCUAUGUUGUGAUGGAAUAUGUCAAAUUAUAAAACAUGGAUGUGGCAUAGAUAAGUAGAUUAUAAUCAAAAUGCGAUGACACAAAUGGAUGAAGUUGAUGAAGAGAUGGAAGAUCGACUAGAAGAUAUGAUCCGUGAUAUUGGAGAAUCGUCUUGUAUGAAAGGCCAUAUUUAUGAUUCUUUAUUUAGGAAAAAAAGAUGCGCCUUUAUAUAAAGGGCGAACCAGUUUUACAAGAUUGUCUGCAAUGUUAAAAUUGUUUAAUCUGAAGGCAAAAGAUAGGUGGUCGGAUAAAACUUUCACAUAAUUGCUUGAUCUGUUGAAACAAAUGCUACCAGAAGAUAAAAAUUUGUCGAAUCGUUGUUAUAAGGCAAAGAAGAUAUUGGGUCCAAUGGGUUUGGACUAUGUCAAAAUACAUGCGUGCCCUAAUGAUUUCAUAUUAUACAAGAAAGAGUAUGAAAUUUUGGAUCAAUUUCCAGUGUCAAAGGACUUUUCUACUCUUUGGCAAUUUCCAGAAUAUGGUUAUGUUAUUUUUCACAAUCAACGACUUUUCUGCAUAUGGUAAUUUGGCUGUAUAUAGUGUCAAAGGACGUAAAGCGUGUUCUAUAUGUGAAUCUAACACCUGUUUUCACCAGCUUGAGUUUGGUUAAAAGACAGUUUACCUUCGACAUCAGAAAUUUCUAAAACACAAUCAUCAUUAUCAUUGAUUUCAUAAGGCUUUUAACGAAGAGCAUGAGUUUGAAAUCUCUCAUAAACCUUUAACUCACGAUGAAGUUUAUCAAUGAAAAGAACACCUUACUAAUAUCUUUGGAAAGAAUAAAGACGGUCCCAUUGAUAAAAAUAUUUGGAAAAAGAGAUAAGUGUUCUUUGAUCUUCCAUAUUGGUUUAUCCUUGAUGUAAGACAUUGUCUUGAUGUGAUGUAUGUGGAGAAAAAUGUGUGUGAUGGUUUGAUAUGAACACUUCUAAACAUUCUAGGCAAGAUUAAAGAUGAUAAUAAUUACUGUUUAGAUAUAGUGGAGAUGGGUAUCCGAUAACAAUUGGGUUAAAAGAUAGAUGAAAAAGAUCUUAUUUGCGUCUGACAUGUCACACUCUAUCUAAAAAGGAAAAGAAAAGUUUUUGCGAGUGUUUGUAUAGUAUUAAAGUUCCCCAAGAUUAUUCUUCAAACAUCAAGAAACUUGUAUUAAUGAAAGAUCUCAAGUUAAUUGGCUUAAAAUUUCAUGAUUGUCAUGUCUUGAUGCACCAAUUUCUACUAAUGGCUAUUUGUAGCAUUCUUCCAAAAAAUGUAAGAGUACCUAUAACUAGAUUGUGCUUACUCUUCAAUGUUAUAUGUAAUAAAGUUCUUGAUUUUAAAAACUUAGAUGAAUUAGAAGAUGAGGUUGCAAUAAUAUUAUGUCAAUUGGACAUGUAUAUUCCUCCAUCAUUUUUUGACAUUAUGGUUCACUUACUUGUUCAUCUAGUCAGAGAAAUCAGAUUUUAUGGUCCGGUUUAUUUAAGGAGGAUGUAUCAUAUAGAGCAUUACAUGAAUAUAUUUAUAAGAAAUAUAAAGAAUCAAAAUUGACUGGAAGCUUCGAUCGUUGAAAGGUACAUCACAAAAGAAGGUCUUGAGUUUUGUUCAGACUAUUUCUCGAAAACAAAGUUUAUUAGAAUUCCAAAGUCUCGUCAUGCUGACAGAUUUGAAGGUAUAGGUACUCAAGGCUUAAAUGUUAAGUAAAUGGAUCGUGAUAUAGUUCUUGAAGCGCAUAUAUAUAUAUAUAUAUAUAUAUAUAUAUAUNUAUAUAUAUAUUGAAUAAUCUUAGUGUAGUUGAACAUCACAUAACUACUCCCAAAACAGUUAUAAAGAAACAAUAUCCCCGAAUGAAUGGCAAAUGGUUGUUGACAUAACAUAACAAGGAAUUCAUACAUUGGUUUAAUAAGAGGAUUUCUAAUGAUGAUGGUGUAUCUGAGACAAUUAAAUGAUUAUCGUUUACACCAAAUAUACUGUGAUAACUUGGAAGGUAUACGCCAUUUCCAAUUAUUCCUUUUAUACAAAAGCAGAAGAUAAUCGUAAUACAAUGUAAAAUAGUGGGGUUAUGGUUAGGCCGAAUCCAUGUAUUUCUUUAGUUCAAAAGAUGAGAAUCAUAUUUUGGAAACCACCAUAUUUUAUGGUAUCAUUGUGGAGAUUUUGGAGAUUGGUUAUGUUAUUUUCAAAGUAGCUUUAUUUAAAUGCAAGUGGGUUCUCAGUAACAAUGGUGUAAAAAUAGAUGAGUUAGGAUUCACACGGUCUGACCUUGAGAAGGAAACUUAUAACAUUGAACCAUUUAUCAUGGUUACUCAAGCAAAACAAGUUUUUUACGUGACAGACCCUGUAGACUUAUCAAGGAGAUUGUCGGUUGUUCUCAAAGAAAAACACAUUCCUCAGAGUGAUGAUGAAAGUUUUGAUUUCCUUCCACUCCUUCUUAUGCAACACAAAUGCCUACUUCGUAUGACGAAAUUGAUAGAGAUUAUGUACAUAUUAUUCGUAAUUAUCCUCAAGAAGGCAUAUGGGAAAAUUAACAAUUAACAAUUUUAUAUUUUUCAUUCAUAAUUUAUUAUAUGUUAUAAUUUCUAAUGAUGUUAUUUUCUAACAACUAUUAUUAUUUUCUAAUUCAAUUAAUACACAAUUUAUCAACAAGUAUAACUAGGGGAUUCAAAAUUUCUCAACUUAUUUUCGUAACAAAACAUUGUUGAAAACCGCCAUUCGUUAAUAAUUUUAAAUCGUAUUAUUAAUACCUUGUUAAAUUUACAAUCCCUUUGUAGAAAAAUUAUUUUAUUAAUUCGACGAGACAAUUACACUUGCUAGAAUUUUCAUCAGUAUGUUAUAAAUGUUUGUGUUAUUGUUGAUGUUUUUGUUGAGGUAUGUUUCAAUGUUUGUGUAAUUAUUCAUGCUAUACCUUAUAUAUUGCAACAUUCAUUAUGUUCAAUCAACAUGUCAUAGAUGAUGAGUUAUUAUAUUGUAUGUGGUUUGACUAUUUUUCUUACCCUUUACUGAAUAUAUAACCUUUCGAAUUGAAUUAGAAAAAUAUAAUAUGAGAUGUUAUGUUAUAUUUGAAAACAAGUUGCACUUAUCAAUGUUUUAUGAGCUUUUUGCACCAUAUUAUUUGUAUCUUACUCUUUAAUGGUUAGAACUUCGUUCAAUGCAUCUAUAGUUCUUCUGAUGUCACUUCCUUCACGUUUUAUUUUGUCUUCAAAGCAAAUAAUAUUUUGGAAAAUGAAAAAGAGGUGAAGGAAGUAUUAGUAGAUGAAAUAGAAACAUUGGAACAAAUUCAAAUUAUUAAAGAGAAAAAUGCGGAUAAUGACUUGUAUAAAGGUUGUACAACAUUGAUUAGUGUAACUUGUUUUUCUAUAAUAAAAUUUAAUUUGUCAUAUUAUUGAACUAAGAAUUCCAUAUAAAUUAUGAUAAACUCAAGUAAGUGUGUCACUAUAGUUGAGAUCUAGAAUCUUAGUAAAACGUUGUAAACUAAGUUUUUCUAGAACCGUGGUGAUAUGUAUUCAAAUCUACAAAAAUCCAGGGAUUGAGUAUCGAACCCCUUACCUCAACCUUUUACUAGGGUUGUUAUAUACAUCUGUAGUGGUAUGUUAAGCGUUUAUGUGUUUUUACCACGACUAAUAAUUCGUAUUGAUAAAGAGAGCACAUACAACCAUACCCUUCUUUACUACGGACCACCGUUGGUGGCGGAAUCCUUCUCACAACCGUGAUACAAAAAAUACUAUUUACAGUAAUGACCAUACCUGCCAGAUAGAAAGUCAACCCAUAUAUAUUUCAUACAACUUUUCUUACAGAGAUACAUGUUAUUUACCUGAGGACAUACUUGCGACUUUUACUUUAGAAUUUACCUGCUGAUUUAUCUAUGAGUUUAUUAGCAAUAUUUCUUGCAAAUUUACUUGAGAAUCUACCUGCAAAAAUACUUACCUAAAAAGAUUUUAGUUGAAGUUAAAGAUUCAUAAGAAGUUUCCUAGUAAAGCUAUUUUCUACAUAUUUUUUAUUCAAAUCCGUAGAAACAUUGCAGGAAAUUCUUGGAAUGUAAAUUAAAGACAUGGAGAUAUCUUUGAAAUUGUGUGAAAAGAGGACAAUUUAAAAAUCAUUAUUUGCUGCUUUAUUUAAUUUGGUUACAAUAAUCUUACCUUAAUAUACAAAAGCAUAACUACAAUCUGAUGGCAACAUAAUAACUAAAUGGGAAUAUGGUCUCUUAUGGGAGUGAUCACUUUAGCACAUCUACAUCGUCUACCCACACACUUCGACAUAUAUGGCCUUUUGUACAAAUUUGGUGGACAAUCAGAAUCUCUGAAACAUCUAUUAAUACCUAGAAUGAAAAAUGAGAAUAAAAUAAUUUAAAUAAUAUGCUUUAAAUGUUUAUACAAAGUAACGAAUGAAUUUGUAAAGAAUAAAAAAUGGAUUACUUGCAAUAGUCGAUGGCACAAGAAAUAUAAAAGUGAAGAAAAUCAUUACAUAAAUAAACUUGACAAUUUUAGUCAUAGUUCCCCUUUGCAAUCAAGAAAUAGUUUUAUCAAUUUAUAUUUGUUAUGGUUUCACCUCUCCUCACACCAAUUAAAUAUUUUUUGACCAUUAUGUAAUUGUAAGAAAUCCUUUUUAAAAUUAGAAUAAUUAUUAAAUAAAUUCUUAAGUAUAUCAAUGUGUAGUAUUUGUCGUUUUAGCACACUUAGUAAGCCUUUU
rnacentral:lncRNA from 1 species